GAUUCUGUCUUGCAGUGGGGACUGAUAGCCCAGGGCCCAGUGACUCAUGACACCAUCAUUGGUAGGCUCCUUGUUCUGUUCAUUAUGUCUGAUUCAUUGGAUUGGGAAUGUAGAGAAAGGUUUUGAAAUGUUUUCUUGUUAUGAAACAGUGAUUGAUGAGGAUUAGCCUUGGGUUGACCAUGAUGAUAUUCAGCUUCAGGAGGGAGAGAAAAAGUGGCCCACAGUUGCAUGUAAUGAAGGGAGUACAGGACCCUGCCUCAGUACAUUCCACUGGGGGGAGGCAGAACUGAGUGGCCAUCACCCACACAUGUAAGCAUUUUAACUAGGCAGAUCCUUUGAACCAGAGAUUCCACUUCUUGGAAUCUUUCCUAAGCAAAUAAUUGGAGAAAGACACCCAGAUUCUUGUGUUUUGUUUAUUUGUUGUUUCUACAUUCCAAAUCUUUGCAGGAUUGUUUUAUAAUGGCAGACAAACUGGAAACAACCUCAGUGCGCAUCAUCAGGGGCUUAGAUACAGAGAUUGAAAGGCCAACCAUUGUUACAAAGGGCAAUCAGAAUUUCUCAUAUUGUGGACAUACAAAGAUACCCUUGAUAUAUAACUGAAAAAAAGUAGCUUGUAGAAUAUUAUGCACAGUAUAGUCCUGUUUUUUAUUUUAAAAUGUUCAAGCCAAAUAUCCGAAAGGAUGUGUACCAAUUAUUAACAAUGGUUGGCCCUGAGAAUAGGAUUGGGCGUUCGGGUAAGGGGCCUGGGACCCAAGGGAGUAAGAAAAGGGCACUCAUUUUCACUGUAUUUAAAAAACAAAAAAUCUUUUGCUGGGCGCCUUGCCGCCUAUAAUCCCAGCAGCUCUGGAGGCAGAGAUAGGAGGAUCACAAGUUCAAAGCCAGCCUCAGCAACAGCAACAAGGCGCUAAGCAACUCAGUGAGACCCUGUCUCUAAAUAAAAUACAAAAUAGGGCUGGGGAUGUGGCAGUGGUCAAGUGCCCUUGAAUUCAGUCCCCAGUAUCCCCUCCCCCCAAGCAAUUUUUUUUUUUUUCAGUGAUCCUAUACCACAAAAAGGGAGGGGAAAUCUGUAAAGAGAUUUUUAGGGACUGGGAAUGUAGCUCAAUGGUAAAACAUUUGCCUAGCAUGUGUGAGGUCCUAGGUUCCAUCCCCAACCUUGCAAAACAAACAACAAAAUGAGAUUGCUUCUCCCUGCAUCCUCCUAAAUCCCUCCCCUCACAUACCCACAAAUCGGUUUAGGAGAAUUUAGACUGAACGCAGGAGGAUUACAAAUUUGAGGCCAGCCUGGACAAUUUAGCAAGACUCUGUCUCAAAAAAAGGCUGGGGGUGUAAUACAAUGUAAAGUGUCCCAGGACCACAAAAUGAGAGAGAGAGAGAGAGAGAGAGAGAGAGAGAGAGAGAGAGAGAGAGAGAGAGAGAGAGAA